ACUUGUUCACAGCGUCGAGAUGGAAUCGUUCACAACUUCGAAUUAAGGGUGAAGCGACGUGGGCGGAAUUCGAUCCGAUCGCCACGGCCUCGACGCCCAUAAACAUCCUGGAUCCUGAUCCUCUCCCAAAGCACGGCUUCCAUCUGAGAUCGCCUGAGAUCGUCUCCCUACGAACUCCUCCAUAAUCGCCAGGCUCCAGCUUUCCAUCCCGACUCCGUGCGCGAAUUUUCCUGUGGUGGAGAGGCUGAUCGAUGAACGCCGCAGCGCCGGCGGCGGCUCGGGGUGGCAUCCCGCGGCAACCGUAUGACAGUGUAAGCGUCUUCUCCGCAGCGAGCGCCGCGCUUCAUGGUUCAAGUACUUAUCCAUUUUUUGAGAGUUUUCGAUCCAUCCCUGAUCGCAGGAAACUUGGUCAGCUUCUACUGUUUCUCAGCUGGGUACGUCUUCAUCACUAGUCGUUUUCGAAGUCGGAAGCGAUUGGGCAUCUGUUUCUGGUAAGUGCUCUUUCCCUGCGGGUUCAGUCAUUCAGGUAAUCUGCAUUCUAGGUGCGUUCUUAGCAUUCAGGUGAUUGCAGUCGACGGUGAACUCACGAACGCGCACACGAACACAAGUUGUUGAACACCGGUGCUAGGUGCUGCUGUAAACAGACAGCUUUUCUCCUUGUAUUAUCAGCGAAGUAAUCUGCCUCGUUUGGACCGCACCUACACAGUACCGGCCGUGCCAUCCCACGACCACGCAGACGCCAAGUUUGCGCGGUCGUGGGAUGACGCGGUAGGCAAUGCGCAAGUGCCGCCCAAAUGAGACACAUUAGCUGCUAAUUUAAGAUGUAGUUUCACUUUAAAUAGUUUAAGAAUACAAGGAUAAAAGCUGCUUGUUUAUAGUAGCACCAAAUACCCAUAUUCAACCUUGUGUCCGUGUGUGUUGGUGAGAUAACUGGCGGUCAGAAUCGCGGUGAACUGAGGUCAGAGGGAGAGAAGCGGAGGAGGACUGAGGGAAAAGGUUGAACCAGAUGGGAGUAAGAGGGAACAAAGAUGGAGGUGAAGGUGUGGCAGGGACUGGUCGACAUAGCCUUGGCGAUAAUGUGAGGCAAAGCAAAAUCAAGGGUUUGUGGGGUUUUAGGAUCAUUGUGCGGUAUUUCCUCACCACUCACAAGUUAACAUGGAUCAUGCCUGUAGGAUAGCCCAAUUCAACCUUUUUAGGCAAAACUUUAUCUGUGGUUUUUUUCGAUGGGGAUGGGAUCAAUGCGAAAUAGCCUAAAAGUUACGCAAUGUUAAUUAUACGUGCGCUCGUCGCGAGUGCUGCUGGCGCCGACAACGGCAAGUCCGCGUGCGUGGUAGUGGUUCCUGAGCCCGCGCAAAGACCGCGCGUGGUGUUUGAGUUUUUUUUUCUUUUUUCUUUUUCUUUUUUCUCCAUUCAAUUAUUUUUUUAUCGUACCAUCUGUACUGUAUGGAUAUUGUUCGUGUACAACUUAUGUUCAUAAGUUGUCUAACAACAUUUUUAUAAAAAUUGUGACAAAAAUAUUUGCAUAAAUUGUGUAUAUUAUGAAAAUUAUGCUACAAAAGUUAUAAUAACUCUCUAAAAUGGAAACUUGAAAUUAUUUUUUAGAAGCUGGAUGUAGAAGUUAUAUAUAUAAGUUGUGUAUUCCUUAAACGUUGUGCUAAAAAAUUAUCUAUAAAAAGUUUGGUAGUAAGAAGUCAUAUGUCAACGUUAUAUGCAUAAGUUAUGAUAUUCCAUUUUGCUUUGUUAGGAUUUCAUCUCGAUUGAUGGCUCAUUUGUUGUUGUAACCAUAUGAGUUUGUAGGCUCGACGCGCGCGAGUUCACGCUGGAGCAGUCCGACCCAUGCAUGCAUGGUAUGUUCAUGGUCGUUGGAUGUCACGAUCGGUCAUGCGUGUGUGCGGCGCAAAUAGGGUUGGCUAGUUGCCCUAUUA
rnacentral:lncRNA from 1 species